UACGUAGGGUGCGAGCGUUGUCCGGAAUUAUUGGGCGUAAAGGGCUCGUAGGCGGUCUGUUGCGUCGGGAGUGAAAACUCAGGGCUUAACCCUGAGCCUGCUUCCGAUACGGGCAGACUAGAGGUAUGCAGGGGAGAACGGAAUUCCUGGUGUAGCGGUGAAAUGCGCAGAUAUCAGGAGGAACACCGGUGGCGAAGGCGGUUCUCUGGGCCUUACCUGACGCUGAGGCUCGAAAGCGUGGGGAGCAAACAGG
rnacentral:rRNA from 1 species